GGGGGCAACCCUGAUCCAGCAAUGCCGCGUGUGGGAUGAAGGCCUUCGGGUUGUAAACCACUUUUGGCGGGGGCGAAAUAUCGAGUGCUAAUACCAUUCGGUGAUGACGGUACCCGCAGAAUAAGCACCGGCUAACUACGUGCCAGCAGCCGCGGUAAUACGUAGGGUGCGAGCGUUAAUCGGAAUUACUGGGCGUAAAGCGUGCGCAGGCGGUUGGGUAAGACAGAUGUGAAAUUCCCGGGCUCAACCUGGGAACUGCAUUUGUGACUGCUCGACUAGAGUGUGGCAGAGGGGAGUGGAAUUCCGCGUGUAGCAGUGAAAUGCGUAGAUAUGCGGAGGAACACCGAUGGCGAAGGCAACUCCCUGGGCCUGCACUGACGCUCAUGCACGAAAGCGUGGGGAGCAAACAGGAUUAGAUACCCUGGUAGUCCACGCCCUAAACGAUGUCGACUAGUUGUUGGACGGGAUACUGUUCAGUAACGUAGCUAACGCGUGAAGUCGACCGCCUGGGGAGUACGGCCGCAAGGUUAAAACUC
rnacentral:rRNA from 1 species